GCCCCCGUAGGCUAAUGGAUAGACUGUCGGCUUCCGGAGCCGAAGAUACAGGUUCGAUUCCUGUCGGGGGUACCA
rnacentral:tRNA from 1 species